rnacentral:lncRNA from 1 species
UACCCACAUGACAAGGGCCUUCCAGACAUGGUCCAGCUGGGGUCUGAUGCUGAUUUGGAUAGAUCCAUGGCAAACUGAUGAAGAAAUUUUGGUCAGAGAGAUGAAGUAGCUCUGCCAGUACACAGCAUGGAAUUGAAAGCAAUGGGCCUGGCACUGACUGAGAGGUACUCACAGCUUGGGGCAGACUCCCAUUUGGAGAUGGGAUCCUGAAGAAGCCUGGAUGUUUGUGAUGGCGGUCAACAGAGCUUCCAGAAUGAUAAGAAAAUCGAGGCAUGGAAACAAUGCUGUCCACAGCCACACCGAGGGGGCAAAGUAGAGCUGGAAUUCCAACACUGGUCUGUCCAGCUUCAAGACCCAACCUCUCUAUGAGGAUGAAAACCUAAUGAAACAAAUCAAAACAGAUGAAACAACCUCAGCCUACAGGCUAAAGAAUGCGCUCACUCACUCAAGUCAUAGUGAAGAUGUGGAACACAUCAUUUUGCUGGUACAGAGGCAGAUUCACAGAUGAGAAUGUCAGGGAUUCUGUCUCAGAGGCGCUCGUGUCCUUACAAGGGAGGUGUAAGGACUACCUUGUUUUUCAUCUGCCCAUCUUCUUCAUUUCAUAUUGGGAUUUCCCCUUCCCAGUUCACAUGCCAACUGGAAGGUUUGCGAGUCCAAAUCCCAGCACUCAUCUGGCAAAGGGGUGAAUGUUUGACUCAUAUUGGAAAAUUAGACUAUAGGAAAGUAAAUGAUGACCCCCUAAUCUGAAAAUGGCUAGAGCGGAUUAAUCCAGCUAGCAGCACUCUGAAGAUAGCUGCCCAUUUGUUCCUGCCAUCUGGCUGUUCAGCUUUCCUUCUUUCUGAGAGCUUCCUUGUGGCAGCUACUGUAGGUUGGUUCACUCAGCGCCCAUUCCAUUUCCCGUCAAGCCGUGCUUUCUCUGCUCUAGAACGUGGAAGACUCAAAGCUCGCUUUCCCAGACUUCCUUGCAGCUAGGAGUGGCCAUGAUACUUGACCAGCGAGAUGCAAGUGUAAGUCUGCUGGGGCUGUCUAUCCCCUUUCUCCUUCUUCCUACUGGAAUGUGGACCUGAUGGUUGUAGCUGUGGCAUAUACCUUAUGAGCAUGAGGGAAAGCUUAAGAGAAUUGCGGGCACCAGCCUGACACUGCUUAGUGACGUCAGGCAGGCACAAACUUCCCUUUGGGCUCCUUGCUGAAGAACUCCAUAGUGGUUUCUGUUACUUGUGGCCAAAUUUACCUCUUCACUGAUACAUGAUCUGCACAUUUUCUUUGCACUUUUAUAAACAGGGUGUAUGCUUGAGGUAGGCAGAGUUUCUGUUUGCAACUAAGAAACCUUAAUUGAUAUAAGGAAAGGAAAAUAAUAUUAUGAUGAUACAAAGCAAACCAUAACACCAUCCAGAAUAAAAUAUGUUCUGGCAGGAGGACGGUCGCAAUACAAGUUCAUGUAGACGUAGUCUGUCACAUUUUUAAGUUUUCUCACAAUGUUUUCCUUUGACUGUCCCAGAUAUCCUAUAAAGUAAGAAUUAUUUUUAUCCCCAUCUUAAAGGUUAAAAAAAUCUCAGAGUUUAAGUGCUGUGGAAAUUAUUAGAUUGGUGCAAAAGCAAUUGUGGUUUUUGCCAUUUCUUUUAAUUUUAAUGGCAAAAACCGCAAUUGCUUUUGCACCAACCUAAUAAGAGACUAAAGUGAUUAAUUAAAACUGUGAGAGCUUCAUGAAAGGGGUGGUUUUAAGCUGAGUUUUGAAGGAUGAACAGGCUUUUGAGAAAGGCAGUAGGUGGUGGACAGAACAUUCUAGCUGAAGCAAGAGCUGCAAAUACUGGAAGGCUGGGCGAGUUUGGGAAGUGUGGUUGGUGCUCAGGGCUGGGGCCUAGAGCACUUGGGAAGCAUGUGAGGGAAGCAGAUUUGGAAUAGUUGGCAGGGGCCGGAUCAUGAAGGGUCGGUACACUGGCAGCCUCUUUGGAUUGCAGAGAACAGAGGCAUCCAGGUGAGCUCGAGUAAUAAGGUCGUUGUGAAGAUGCAUAUGGGAACAAAGGAGGUUCUAGAAUUAGGGCAAAGAUUCUUGGGGAACUGGGACUACACCACAACCAACACCACAGAGUGAAUGAAAACCUCAGAACAGUCAGACUUAUGAAGGUUGGAAUGUACUUUGACAAUAUAAAUCUGUCGAGAAUCAAA